GGUGGGCUCUCAGCAGGUGUGUGCCUGAUGCCAAAUGGAUGGUAGAGGUCAAUCUGCUGCAGAUGGGACCAGAGGAGCCUCAGCAAGCCUUGGGCUGCAGGGAACCUCCCGGAGCUGGGCAAAGAGGACAAUUGCAUAAUUGCUCUGAACUCCAGUACUGGCUAGAGCUGUAUACUGAUGGUACCGACGCAGUUCUUUCUAGUGGGGAUGAUGUCUCACGACUGGUGCAUUUCUCAGAAGGAAGAGGUGUUUUGUGAACAGUAUGACUGUUUCCUUUACUCAGCUGUUGCAGCAGGAAGUUGUUUGUGGACACUAAAGACCUGGGAAAGAUUGUUGCAGAAAAAAUAUUAAAAUGGGGUACUACAAUAAGCACACAUGAACUAGGACUGGAGGAGUUCUGCUGGGACACAGGUGCCACCUCCUGUUGUGACACGGCUUGUUCCGUACCUGAGGCCAGCCCCUACCUCUGGCUCUCCUGCAGAAGAGCCACC